rnacentral:rRNA from 1 species
UACGAAGGGUGCGAGCGUUGUUCGGAAUUAUUGGGCGUAAAGGGUUCGUAGGCGGGAAUGCAAGUCAAAUGUGAAAUCCCUGGGCUCAACCCAGGACGUGCCUUUGAAACUUCAUUUCUUGAGUGCCGGAGAGGGUGGUGGAAUUGCUGGUGUAGGAGUGAAAUCCGUAGAGAUCAGCAGGAACAUCGGAGGCGAAGGCGACCACCUGGCCGAGCACUGACGCUGAGGAACGAAAGCAUGGGGAGCAAACAGG